rnacentral:other from 1 species
AACUCCAGGGGACAAGGGCAUCGCCUCCUUUACUGAAGGACACUCCCUUCAGAUGGAGAAUGGGAACUCCCUUCCUCCUGCAGUGGUCUGUCUGCAGCUAUCCUGCUAGGUCAGUGUGGAUGUGGUAGGCAUUGCAGCUGACCUGGUCUGGGGAGAAGGCGCCUCAGAGUC